CGCCCCUCCGCCGCGCCCCCGACACGCACGCGGCCCCGGCCGGCGGUGGGCACCGCGGGGUCCUGGACGGUUUCCCCAGGUGAAGAAAAUGCAUCCCCCUCAACCAAGCCUGAGCACAAGCGGGAGUGCGAGGGAUGUCUUGCUCUCCAGGCUGGAGUUCAGUGGCACAACCAGCUCACUGCAGCCUUGAAUUACUGAGCUUACUUGAUCCUCCCAACUCAGCCUCCCAAGUAACUGGGACUGCAGACUUGACUUGACCUCCUGAGCAGCUGGGUCCACAGGUGCACACCGCCGGGUCCAGCUUCUCCUACUUCCCACCUUGGCCUGCUGAGCAGCUGGGUCUACAGGUGCAUGCCGCUGGGUCCAGCUUCUCCUACUUCCCACCUUGACUUCCUGAGCAGCUGGGUCUACAGGUGCACACCACCAGGUCCAGCUUCUCCUACUUCCCACCUUGACUUCCUGAGCAGCUGGGUCCACAG